rnacentral:rRNA from 1 species
AUUGAACGCUGGCGGCAGGCCUAACACAUGCAAGUCGAGCGGAUGAAGGGAGCUUGCUCCUGGAUUCAGCGGCGGACGGGUGAGUAAUGCCUAGGAAUCUGCCUGGUAGUGGGGGAUAACGUCCGGAAACGGGCGCUAAUACCGCAUACGCCCUGAGGGAGAAAGUGGGGGAUCUUCGGACCUCACGCUAUCAGAUGAGCCUAGGUCGGAUUAGCUAGUUGGUGGGGUAAAGGCCUACCAAGGCGACGAUCCGUAACUGGUCUGAGAGGAUGGUCAGUCACACUGGAACUGAGACACGGUCCAUACUCCUACGGGAGGCAGCAGUGGGGAAUAUUGGACAGUGGGCGAAAGCCUGAUCCAGCCAUGCCGCGUGUGUGAAGAAGGUCUUCGGAUUGUAAAGCACUUUAAGUUGGGAGGAAGGGCAGUAAGUUAAUACCUUGCUGUUUUGACGUUACCAACAGAAUAAGCACCGGCUAACUUCGUG